rnacentral:rRNA from 1 species
UACGAGGGGGGCAAAUGUUGUUCGGAAUCACUGGGCGUAAGGGGAGCGUAGGCGGGUUUUAAGUCAGGUGUUUAAUCCCGGGGCCCAACCCCGGACAGGCACUUGAAACUGGGAAUCUUGAAUAGUGGAGAGGUCGGUGGAAUUGGAGGUGUAGCGGUGAAAUGGCGUAGAGAGUCGGGACGGAACACCAGCGGCGGAAGGCGGCGAUCCUGGCCCUGACCUGACGCUGGAGGCGCGAGAGCGUGGGGAGCGAACUGG